rnacentral:rRNA from 1 species
GACGAACGCUGGCGGCGUGCUUAACACAUGCAAGUCGAGCGGUAAGGCCCUUUCGGGGUACGACGAGCGGCGAACGGGUGAGUAACACGUGGGUGACCUGCCCUCAGCUCUGGGAUAAGCCUGGGAAACUGGGUCUAAUACUGGAUAUGACUCCACGGUGCAUGUCGUGGGGUGGAAAGCCUUGUGCGGCUGAGGAUGGGCCCGCGGCCUAUCAGCUUGUUGGUGGGGUGANGGCCUACCAAGGCGACGACGGGUAGCCGGCCUGAGAGGGCGACCGGCCACACUGGGACUGAGACACGGCCCAGACUCCUACGGGAGGCAGCAGUGGGGAAUCUUGCGCAAUGGGCGAAAGCCUGACGCAGCGACGCCGCGUGAGGGAUGACGGCCUCGG